rnacentral:rRNA from 1 species
AACGAACGCUGGCGGCAUGCCUAACACAUGCAAGUCGAACGAGACCUUCGGGUCUUGUGGCGCACGGGUGCGUAACGCGUGGGAACCUGCCCUUAGGUUCGGAAUACCUCCCCGAAAGGGGUGCUAAUACCGGAUAAUGUCUUCGGACCAAAGAUUUAUUGCCUUUGGAUGGGCCCGCGUUGGAUUAGCUUGUUGGUAGGGUAAAAGCCUACCAAGGCGACGAUUCAUAGCUGGUCUGAGAGGAUGAUCAGCCACACUGGGACUGAGACACGGCCGAGACUCCUACGGAAGGCAGCAGUGGGGAAUAUUGGACAAUGGGGGAAGGCCUGAUCCAGCAAUGCCGCGUAAGUGAUGAAGGCCGUAGGGUUGUAAAGCUCUUUUACCCGGGAUGAUAAUGACAGUACCGGGAGAAUAAGCUCCGGCUAACUCCGUG